CCAGUGCCGCGUGUAUGAAGAAGGCCUUAGGGUUGUAAAGUACUUUAAGCGGGGAGGAAGGUGAUUUGGUUAAUACCCUUAUCAAUUGACGUUACCCGCAGAAGAAGCACCGGCUAACUCCGUGCCAGCAGCCGCGGUAAUACGGAGGGUGCAAGCGUUAAUCGGAAUUACUGGGCGUAAAGCGCACGCAGGCGGUCAAUUAAGUCAGAUGUGAAAGCCCCGAGCUUAACUUGGGAAUUGCAUCUGAAACUGGUUGGCUAGAGUCUUGUAGAGGGGGGUAGAAUUCCACGUGUAGCGGUGAAAUGCGUAGAGAUGUGGAGGAAUACCGGUGGCGAAGGCGGCCCCCUGGACAAAGACUGACGCUCAGGUGCGAAAGCAUGGGGAGCAAACAGGAUUAGAUACCCUGGUAGUCCACGCCGUAAACGAUGUCGAUCUAGAGGUUGUGGUCUUGAACCGUGGCUUCUGGAGCUAACGCGAUAAAUCGACCGCCUGGGGAGUACGGCCGCAAGGUUAAAACUCAAAUGAAUUGACGGGGGCCCGCACAAGCGGUGGAGCAUGUGGUUUAAUUCGAUGCAACGCGAAGAACCUUACCUACUCUUGACAUCCAGCGAAUCCUUUAGAGAUAGAGGAGUGCCUUCGGGAACGCUGAGACAGGUGCUGCAUGGCUGUCGUCAGCUCGUGUCGUGAUAUGUUGGGUUAAGUCCCGCAACGAGCGCAACCCUUUUCCUUUGUUGCCAGC
rnacentral:rRNA from 1 species